AGAGUUUGAUCCUGGCUCAGGACGAACGCUGGCGGCGUGCCUAAUACAUGCAAGUCGAGCGAGCUUGCCUAGAUGAUUUUAGUGCUUGCACUAAAUGAAACUAGAUACAAGCGAGCGGCGGACGGGUGAGUAACACGUGGGUAACCUGCCCAAGAGACUGGGAUAACACCUGGAAACAGAUGCUAAUACCGGAUAACAACACUAGACGCAUGUCUAGAGUUUGAAAGAUGGUUCUGCUAUCACUCUUGGAUGGACCUGCGGUGCAUUAGCUAGUUGGUAAGGUAACGGCUUACCAAGGCAAUGAUGCAUAGCCGAGUUGAGAGACUGAUCAGCCACAUUGGGACUGAGACACGGCCCAAACUCCUACGGGAGGCAGCAGUAGGGAAUCUUCCACAAUGGACGAAAGUCUGAUGGAGCAACGCCGCGUGAGUGAAGAAGGGUUUCGGCUCGUAAAGCUCUGUUGGUAGUGAAGAAAGAUAGAGGUAGUAACUGGCCUUUAUUUGACGGUAAUUACUUAGAAAGUCACGGCUAACUACGUGCCAGCAGCCGCGGUAAUACGUAGGUGGCAAGCGUUGUCCGGAUUUAUUGGGCGUAAAGCGAGUGCAGGCGGUUCAAUAAGUCUGAUGUGAAAGCCUUCGGCUCAACCGGAGAAUUGCAUCAGAAACUGUUGAACUUGAGUGCAGAAGAGGAGAGUGGAACUCCAUGUGUAGCGGUGGAAUGCGUAGAUAUAUGGAAGAACACCAGUGGCGAAGGCGGCUCUCUGGUCUGCAACUGACGCUGAGGCUCGAAAACAUGGGUAGCGAACAGGAUUAGAUACCCUGGUAGUCCAUGCCGUAAACGAUGAGCGCUAAGUGUUGGGAGGUUUCCGCCUCUCAGUGCUGCAGCU
rnacentral:rRNA from 1 species